CCUACGGGUGGCAGCAGGAGGGAAUCUGAGGCAAUGGGAGAAAGAAGGAAAGAGAGAUGCAGAGGGAGGGAAGAAGGGGGGAGGGGAGGAAAGAGAGGUUGCGGGGGAAAAAAGGCAGCAUCAGGAAAUGGGUGCUGACUGAUGGUGCCCCGCCAGAAAGUCACGGCUAACUACGUGCCAGCAGCCGCGGUAAUACGUAGGUGGCGAGCGUUAUCCGGAAUGAUUGGGCGUAAAGGGUGCGCAGGCGGUCCUGCAAGUCUGGAGUGAAACGCAUGAGCUCAACUCAUGCAUGGCUUUGGAAACUGGAGGACUGGAGAGCAGGAGAGGGCGGUGGAACUCCAUGUGUAGCGGUAAAAUGCGUAGAUAUAUGGAAGAACACCAGUGGCGAAGGCGGCCGCCUGGCCUGUUGCUGACGCUGAGGCACGAAAGCGUGGGGAGCAAAUAGGAUUAGAUACCCUUGUAGUC
rnacentral:rRNA from 1 species